rnacentral:rRNA from 1 species
UCCGUAGACAACGCGGGCGCGUGCUUAAUACAUGCAAGUCGAGCGGACAGAUGGGAGCUUGCUCCCUGAUGUCAGCGGCGGACGGGUGAGUAACACGUGCGUAACCUGCCUGUAAGACUGGGAUAACUCCGGGAAACCGGGGCUAAUACCGGAUGCUUGAUUGAACCGCAUGGUUCAAUUAUAAAAGGUGGCUUUUAGCUACCACUUACAGAUGGACCCGCGGCGCAUUAGCUAGUUGGUGAGGUAACGGCUCACCAAGGCAACGAUGCGUAGCCGACCUGAGAGGGUGAUCGGCCACACUGGGACUGAGACACGGCCCAGACUCCUACGGGAGGCAGCAGUAGGGAAUCUUCCGCAAUGGACGAAAGUCUGACGGAGCAACGCCGCGUGAGUGAUGAAGGUUUUCGGAUCGUAAAACUCUGUUGUUAGGGAAGAACAAGUACCGUUCGAAUAGGGCGGUACCUUGACGGUACCUAACCAGAAAGCCACGGCUAACUACGUGCCAGCAGCCGCGGUAAUACGUAGGUGGCAAGCGUUGUCCGGAAUUAUUGGGCGUAAAGCGCGCGCAGGCGGUUUCUUAAGUCUGAUGUGAAAGCCCCCGGCUCAACCGGGGAGGGUCAUUGGAAACUGGGGAACUUGAGUGCAGAAGAGGAGAGUGGAAUUCCACGUGUAGCGGUGAAAUGCGUAGAGAUGUGGAGGAACACCAGUGGCGAAGGCGACUCUCUGGUCUGUAACUGACGCUGAGGCGCGAAAGCGUGGGGAGCGAACAGGAUUAGAUACCCUGGUAGUCCACGCCGUAAACGAUGAGUGCUAAGUGUUAGAGGGUUUCCGCCCUUUAGUGCUGCAGCAAACGCAUUAAGCACUCCGCCUGGGGAGUACGGUCGCAAGACUGAAACUCAAAGGAAUUGACGGGGGCCCGCACAAGCGGUGGAGCAUGUGGUUUAAUUCGAAGCAACGCGAAGAACCUUACCAGGUCUUGACAUCCUCUGACAACCCUAGAGAUAGGGCUUCCCCUUCGGGGGCAGAGUGACAGGUGGUGCAUGGUGUCGUCAGCUCG